GAAGAAGAAGUGAGUUUUCAUUUAUUUUUUUAUUUUUUUUUAAAAUUUCAAUUUGAAUUUGACGUUUAAUUGCAUUUGAGAGUUCUAAGUUGUUGCACAAUUGAGAAAUAUUGUCUAGGGUACAAUUGAUUACAUUUACACAGUUGAUAUAUUUCGUACAUAGUUAAUUGUUGUUACACAGUUGAACAUUUCAUACACAGUUGAUUACUUCAUACACAGUUAAUUAUUG
rnacentral:lncRNA from 1 species